UGGGGAAUUUUGGACAAUGGGCGAAAGCCUGAUCCAGCAAUGCCGCGUGUGUGAAGAAGGCCUUCGGGUUGUAAAGCACUUUUGUCCGGAAAGAAAUCGCGCUGGUUAAUACCUGGCGUGGAUGACGGUACCGGAAGAAUAAGCACCGGCUAACUACGUG
rnacentral:rRNA from 1 species